rnacentral:rRNA from 1 species
UCUGGCUCAGGAUGAACGCUAGCGACAGGCUUAACACAUGCAAGUCGAGGGGCAGCAAUAAAAGUAGCAAUACUUGGUGGCGACCGGCGCACGGGUGAGUAACGCGUAUGCAACCUACCUAUCAGAGGGGAAUAACCCGGCGAAAGUCGGACUAAUACCGCAUAAAACAGGGGCACCGCAUGGUGAUAUUUGUUAAAGAAAUUCGCUGAUAGAUGGGCAUGCGUUCCAUUAGGUAGUUGGUGAGGUAACGGCUCACCAAGCCGACGAUGGAUAGGGGAACUGAGAGGUUGGUCCCCCACACUGGUACUGAGACACGGACCAGACUCCUACGGGAGGCAGCAGUGAGGAAUAUUGGUCAAUGGGCGAGAGCCUGAACCAGCCAAGUCGCGUGAAGGAAGAAGGAUCUAUGGUUCGUAAACUUCUUUUGCAGGGGAAUAAAGUGCAGGACGUGUCCUGUUUUGUAUGUACCCUGAGAAUAAGGAUCGGCUAACUCCGUGCCAGCCGCGGC